UAAGAAUUUAAAAGUCGAACAGACUUAUUAUUAAGAAUACUGCUUCUUAAAAUUUUCUUAAUUCAACAUCGAGGUCGCAAAAUUCAAUAUAGAUAAGAACUCCCCAUUAAAAUUACGCUGUUAUCCCUAAGGUAACUUAAUCUUACUAUCCUCACACAAUAUAAGGGAUCUAAAAUAACAUAAAUAGAUGAAUGUUUAAACUAAAGUUAAUUAUUUAGUUGCCACCCCAGCAAAAUACAAAAUAAACAUUAAAAAGUAUAUAAAAAAAAUAAAACUUAAUAACAUAAAAUUAUAUAAAGUUCUAUAGGGUCUUAUCGUCCCAAUAAACUAAUAAAGCAUUUUAACUUUAAAUUUAAAUUUUAAUAUUAAAAAAAAUAAAAUAUAAUUCUCAUACAUCCAUUCAUACAAGCUUUCAAUUAAAAAACUAAUUACUAUGCUACCUUUGCACAGUCAAAAUACUGCAGCCAUUUAGAAAACCAUAGGGCAGAAGAUACUUUUUAUAAAACCA
rnacentral:rRNA from 1 species